GCAUCUUACAAUCUCUUCCACUCCAGUGUCUGUCAAACGAUGCAGUUGAUAAAGAGUCCAAAUAUGGCAACACUGAUCAUUUGUUUACAUUUUUUUUGUUGACAUACACCACACAUACGUUAUGUUCGAUUUCAUCACUUGAAACAAUGAUUGCAUCUUAUCACAGCUGUUUUCUUCUAUCGCACGGUAUAAAACACUGUUUCGGACCCGGAAGCAGUAUUAUUCUAUUGCAAAUAAUUAAAGUGACUCAGUGAAGAUAAUAUUUGUGCAAACUUUAUUAUCCACAUUUUUUUAGUAUUUCAUUCUUGAAUUUCAACCAAAGAAAUGGAAUAUUUUAUUUCCCAAUGGUUUUUGGCCUAAUUGGUAAAUGGCUUUACAAUCGAUACAAAGACUAAGAUAAUUUGCACGAUGAAAUGUUUUUUGUGAUGCUAAAUGAACAGAAUUGUUGUAAAUCGAAUAAAAUCAGUGCGCAUAUUCGAUGCAAAACGAAAUAUUGUAUGGGGAAGUUGAUGCUAAAAAAAUGGUUAAAUUGAUCGAUUCGGCGGAAUGCUCCAUUUACAUUGCGAUGUAAAACUUUAAAAAUGAGCAACUCAUAAGCAGCAUGUUGAAUGGUGUUGACGUCAGGCUCGCAGGUGAAGAAAGAAAGUUGAUGCAUAAUAAAUUCUGUUUGAUUGACCCAAUGUUUCCCAACGGUAUUGUUAUCAGCGGAUCAUUGAAUUGGAGCAAUGGAGGAAUCCGAAACAAUUGCGAAAAUGUCACUUUCAUUUGAAAUAAACGCAUCCACGAAGAGUACAAGGCAUAUUUUGAUGAAAUGUUGAUGAAAAUCGCAUCACCGUUCAUUUCAUAAUCGAAUCGAAUGAUGCAACAUGCAUGUGCAUAGGUUGAAAUUUCUUCAAUGUAAUGAAAACCCACCUCUCCAGUUUUACUGGUGAUAAUCGGAUAUUGAGGUCCGUACCACAAACAUGUGAAAGUUGAAAUACUUUCCCAUGGAAUUUCCAAAACGAGGCUACUUUCUCAUUGGAGAGACGUAAAUAAUUCAUUAGAUGACAAAGGAGUCAAACCGAAACAUAAUGGGCGUAACAAAUCAGUUGAUUCAGUACAGCAAACCAAUCUUUUUUACAAGUUUUGAUUGAAAAUGUCUAAAAAUAAAUGUUGAAUAAAGAAAUGGAGCCGUAUUUAGUUUUUAUUUGUUCACAUUGUAUUUUCAGUGGUGUUCGUUGUCGUUCAAACUACGCAGAUCCUUAUGACAAUUUCAAUUAUGG